rnacentral:rRNA from 1 species
GAUGAACGCUGGCGGCGUGCCUAAUACAUGCAAGUCGAGCGAACAGACGAGGAGCUUGCUCCUCUGACGUUAGCGGCGGACGGGUGAGUAACACGUGGAUAACCUACCUAUAAGACUGGGAUAACUUCGGGAAACCGGAGCUAAUACCGGAUAAUAUAUUGAACCGCAUGGUUCAAUAGUGAAAGACGGUUUUGCUGUCACUUAUAGAUGGAUCCGCGCCGCAUUAGCUAGUUGGUAAGGUAACGGCUUACCAAGGCAAUGAUGCGUAGCCGACCUGAGAGGGUGAUCGGCCACACUGGAACUGAGACACGGUCCAGACUCCUACGGGAGGCAGCAGUAGGGAAUCUUCCGCAAUGGGCGUAAGCCUGACGGAGCAACGCCGCGUGAGUGAUGAAGGUCUUCGGAUCGUAAAACUCUGUUAUUAGGGAAGAACAAAUGUGUAAGUAACUAUGCACGUCUUGACGGUACCUAAUCAGAAAGCCACGGCUAACUACGUG